AGAAGUGUGCUUUAAUUGUAGUAAAAGUGUACUUUUUGUGUACUUCAAUUAUUAAAAGUAUACUUUUUAAAAUAUGCACUUGCAGAUAAUAUAAUUUCAAUUAAAGGCCACUUAAGUGUACUUAAAGAGAGUACACUUUAAUGACAAUAGUCUUAACAUACUUAAGUGCACUUUUUAAAAAUGCACUUUAUAAUAAUGUCUAAUUAAUUAAUUAAGUAUUACUUAAACAUACAUUUCACAUAAUUAUGAUUUUAUUGUGUUUUAAAUAAGUACAUUCAUUUUGAUAUAUUUAUCAAUAUACCAAAGCACAUGUAAAAUAAUUGAUUUUAAUUUCAACUUAAGUGUGUUCUCCAAAAUUACAUUUGUUAAUGUAUUUUUAAUGUAUUAUGUAUUAUAAUAUAUACUAUGUGCACUAAUGCACCUGAAAUGUAUUUUUCUUCUAAACUUAAAUACAUUCAUCACCAGCUCUUGUGCUAUGAACUCUAUGAAGUUUAAUUUUCGGCGUAAUAUUUGACAUACAGGGUCAUUUAUGAGAGUACUGUAUUUGUAUGUAAUAGUACUGUACUUUACAUCUGUGUACAGAAUACUUUCAAUAUCAUUAUGUUGUUCUAAGUCACCUAAACACAUUUAAUUGCAUUAAUUGCAAGCAAAAGAUCUAAACAAAAUUAAUUUGCAUUCAAAUACAUUUGAUUUUAAUUAGACUAGGCUACACUGCACUAUAAAAAAUGACUGACUUUUAGUUAGGUGAACGAGUCAUGAAUGAGUCUAACAAUAGUCUUUGGUCUAACUACACAAUGUAUUAGGACAACUUGAACUUGAACAGAAAUGGAAAGCCUGAAAUAACAUGUAACCACACACAAAGUAUCUCUUUUGUUUUAUGAGCAUGCGCCAAAAAUACUACGUCAUGAUGGAGCGCUACUUCAGCAGAGUUUGAAAAAUGUUUCUGGAGUCGCAACGCGUGUGAGGGAGCUUCGCUGAUCAAACGAGAACAGAGGAGCGUUUGGAUGAUUACAGAUGAGACUUUAUGUACUGCAGAUAAUGAAUCAAGUAACAAACCAAAGGAAGAGGACAGCAGCUUUGCUGUUUCAGUCAGGUAAAUACAGGAACAUUAUUCAGGAAGAUGUGCGAGAGAAGCUUGCAAGGCAAGAUGAGGGAAACAAAUUAAAGCCCAGUGUCAGUGAAGAUGGUGUGAUCAGGAAAUCUGAAGGAACAUCUCCCAGUAUUCUACUACGAUGUUGCCCUGAUGUCUGAGGUAAUUCACCUCUUAGGUGAUGCAGAUGUGGUCAAAGUUUACAUACACCUUGCAGAAUAAACUGCUUCAUCAGAGCAGAAAUUGCCAUUUUUGAAUGAUUCUACCCCUCUACACUCUGCUUAAAUUAUUAACAUUUUGCAGAUACCGCAAAGUGUAUAUAAACUUUGGACUGCAACUGUGUCUAUUGCUUUCACUCAACUGAACCAUUUAUAAUGACUGGAUAUGUUUUAUAAUAAUUGUUCUUCUUUCUUUCCUCAAGGAAUUUUUUUCUGACUUUCCUGCCUCUUUGGAACAUUUCCGUUCACAGAGACUGUGGAGAGAUGCUGUGCAGCUUCAUGACAUUUGAAGUUUACUGCCGAUGGAGAGCUUCUGGGACACUGACAAACACCACUUCCCAGCAAGUUCAUUUGGAGUUCUUUUUUUUUUUUUAUCAAUUAACUUUUAUUUAGUCAAACUUGCAUUCACUAAUGCUGGAGUAAGAAUUUAGAAGAAACCUUUCGGUCCUGUUUAAUGGCCUGGUUUCACAGACAGGGCUUAGACUAAGCCAAGAUUCGGCCAUAGUUCAAUUAGGACAUUUAAGUCAUUUUCAUUAACAUGCCUUAGAAAAAACAUUACUGGUGUGCAUCUUGAGACAAAACAAAGGCACUGAUAUUUUUAAAGAUCAGUCAGUGCAAGUUUCUUUCAGUUGAAACUGCUCAGAAUUACAUUUUAGUCUGGGGCUGGUCUUAAGCCUUGUCUGUGAAACCGGGGAUACCAUUACCACAGUUUGGUAAUGUUUUACAAUAAGGGCUCAUUUGUUGUACAUGGAAUGAUAAUUUUCUUUAUUUUUAUUUUUUUGUAUUAAGUGUGUGUAUUUGUGUGUUAGUAAUCCUAUACAUUAUGGAGACCAAAUGACUACACAAGGAUAGUAAUACUAGUGGUAUUACUAUCCUUAUUAAUUUGGACUUUGUGGACAUUUUAAGGUCCCCAAUGAGGAAACAGUUUUAUACAUCAUACAGAAUGAUUGUUAAGAUGUACGUGCGACGGUGCACUGGCUUUUCAACAUCUAGAUCUCAACCUCGGUCAGAAGGUUAAUAGGCGAAGAUCCACGACAGUUUCAGGUCUCAAGCAGUGAUUUAUUCCACAAUCAGUUUGUUACGUGUGUGCGG